AGGCCAGACUCCUACGGGAGGCAGCAGUGGGGAACAUUGCGCAAUGGGGGAAACCCUGACGCAGCAACGCCGCGUGAGUGAGGAAGUAUCUCGGUAUGUAAAGCUCUAUCAGCGGGGAAGAAGGAAGACGGUACCCGACUAAGAAGCCACGGCUAACUACGUGCCAGCAGCCGCGGUAAUACGUAGGUGGCGAGCGUUGUCCGGAUUUACUGGGCGUAAAGGGAGCGUAGGCGGACUUUUAAGUGAGAUGUGAAAUACUCGGGCUCAACUUGAGUGCUGCAUUUCAAACUGGAAGUCUAGAGUGCAGGAGAGGAGAAUGGAAUUCCUAGUGUAGCGGUGAAAUGCGUAGAGAUUAGGAAGAACACCAGUGGCGAAGGCGAUUCUCUGGACUGUAACUGACGCUGAGGCUCGAAAGCGUGGGGAGCAAACAGGAUUAGAUACCCGGGUACC
rnacentral:rRNA from 1 species